GGGUUGUGAGGUUAAGCGACUAAGCGUACACGGUGGAUGCCCUGGCAGUCAGAGGCGAUGAAGGGCGUGCUAAUCUGCGAUAAGCGCCGGUAAGGUGAUAUGAACCGUUAUAACCGGCGAUACCCGAAUGGGGAAACCCAGUGUGAUUCGUCACACUAUCAUUAACUGAAUCCAUAGGUUAAUGAGGCGAACCGGGGGAACUGAAACAUCUAAGUACCCCGAGGAAAAGAAAUCAACCGAGAUUCCCCCAGUAGCGGCGAGCGAACGGGGAGGAGCCCAGAGCCUGAAUCAGCAUGUGUGUUAGUGGAAGCGUCUGGAAAGGCGCGCGAUACAGGGUGACAGCCCCGUACACAAAAGCGCAUGUGCUGUGAGCUCGAUGAGUAGGGCGGGACACGUGGUAUCCUGUCUGAAUAUGGGGGGACCAUCCUCCAAGGCUAAAUACUCCUGACUGACCGAUAGUGAACCAGUACCGUGAGGGAAAGGCGAAAAGAACCCCGGCGAGGGGAGUGAAAAAGAACCUGAAACCGUGUACGUACAAGCAGUGGGAGCACAGGUUUACCUGUGUGACUGCGUACCUUUUGUAUAAUGGGUCAGCGACUUAUAUUCUGUAGCAAGGUUAACCGAAUAGGGGAGCCGGAGGGAAACCGAGUCUUAACCGGGCGUUAAGUUGCAGGGUAUAGACCCGAAACCCGGUGAUCUAGCCAUGGGCAGGUUGAAGGUUGGGUAACACUAACUGGAGGACCGAACCGACUAAUGUUGAAAAAUUAGCGGAUGACCUGUGGCUGGGGGUGAAAGGCCAAUCAAACCGGGAGAUAGCUGGUUCUCCCCGAAAGCUAUUUAGGUAGCGCCUCGUGAAUUCAUCUCCGGGGGUAGAGCACUGUUUCGGCUAGGGGGCCAUCCCGGCUUACCAACCCGAUGCAAACUGCGAAUACCGGAGAAUGUUAUCACGGGAGACACACGGCGGGUGCUAACGUCCGUCGUGAAGAGGGAAACAACCCAGACCGCCAGCUAAGGUCCCAAAGUCAUGGUUAAGUGGGAAACGAUGUGGGAAGGCCCAGACAGCCAGGAUGUUGGCUUAGAAGCAGCCAUCAUUUAAAGAAAGCGUAAUAGCUCACUGGUCGAGUCGGCCUGCGCGGAAGAUGUAACGGGGCUAAACCAUGCACCGAAGCUGCGGCAGCGUCCGUUGGGUAGGGGAGCGUUCUGUAAGCCUGCGAAGGUGGCCUGUGAGGGUUGCUGGAGGUAUCAGAAGUGCGAAUGCUGACAUAAGUAACGAUAAAGCGGGUGAAAAGCCCGCUCGCCGGAAGACCAAGGGUUCCUGUCCAACGUUAAUCGGGGCAGGGUGAGUCGACCCCUAAGGCGAGGCCGAAAGGCGUAGUCGAUGGGAAACGGGUUAAUAUUCCCGUACUUGGUGUUACUGCGAAGGGGGGACGGAGAAGGCUAUGUUGGCCGGGCGACGGUUGUCCCGGUUUAAGCGUGUAGGUGUGUGUUCCAGGUAAAUCCGGUUCACUUUAACACUGAGGCGUGAUGACGAGGCACUACGGUGCUGAAGCAACAAAUGCCCUGCUUCCAGGAAAAGCCUCUAAGCAUCAGGUAACAUCAAAUCGUACCCCAAACCGACACAGGUGGUCAGGUAGAGAAUACCAAGGCGCUUGAGAGAACUCGGGUGAAGGAACUAGGCAAAAUGGUGCCGUAACUUCGGGAGAAGGCACGCUGACACGUAGGUGAAGUGAUUUACUCAUGGAGCUGAAGUCAGUCGAAGAUACCAGCUGGCUGCAACUGUUUAUUAAAAACACAGCACUGUGCAAACACGAAAGUGGACGUAUACGGUGUGACGCCUGCCCGGUGCCGGAAGGUUAAUUGAUGGGGUCAGCGCAAGCGAAGCUCCUGAUCGAAGCCCCGGUAAACGGCGGCCGUAACUAUAACGGUCCUAAGGUAGCGAAAUUCCUUGUCGGGUAAGUUCCGACCUGCACGAAUGGCGUAAUGAUGGCCAGGCUGUCUCCACCCGAGACUCAGUGAAAUUGAACUCGCUGUGAAGAUGCAGUGUACCCGCGGCAAGACGGAAAGACCCCGUGAACCUUUACUAUAGCUUGACACUGAACAUUGAGCCUUGAUGUGUAGGAUAGGUGGGAGGCUUUGAAGUGUGGACGCCAGUCUGCAUGGAGCCGACCUUGAAAUACCACCCUUUAAUGUUUGAUGUUCUAACGUGGACCCGUAAUCCGGGUUGCGGACAGUGUCUGGUGGGUAGUUUGACUGGGGCGGUCUCCUCCUAAAGAGUAACGGAGGAGCACGAAGGUUGGCUAAUCCUGGUCGGACAUCAGGAGGUUAGUGCAAUGGCAUAAGCCAGCUUGACUGCGAGCGUGACGGCGCGAGCAGGUGCGAAAGCAGGUCAUAGUGAUCCGGUGGUUCUGAAUGGAAGGGCCAUCGCUCAACGGAUAAAAGGUACUCCGGGGAUAACAGGCUGAUACCGCCCAAGAGUUCAUAUCGACGGCGGUGUUUGGCACCUCGAUGUCGGCUCAUCACAUCCUGGGGCUGAAGUAGGUCCCAAGGGUAUGGCUGUUCGCCAUUUAAAGUGGUACGCGAGCUGGGUUUAGAACGUCGUGAGACAGUUCGGUCCCUAUCUGCCGUGGGCGCUGGAGAACUGAGGGGGGCUGCUCCUAGUACGAGAGGACCGGAGUGGACGCAUCACUGGUGUUCGGGUUGUCAUGCCAAUGGCACUGCCCGGUAGCUAAAUGCGGAAGAGAUAAGUGCUGAAAGCAUCUAAGCACGAAACUUGCCCCGAGAUGAGUUCUCCCUGAGACUUAAAGUCUCCUGAAGGAACGUUGAAGACGACGACGUUGAUAGGCCGGGUGUGUAAGCGCAGCGAUGCGUUGAGCUAACCGGUACUAAUGAACCGUGAGGCUUAACCUUACAACGCCGAAG
rnacentral:rRNA from 1 species